GGAGCUUUAGUUAAUCCAUAAUACUGGACUGUCAGAUCAGAGUGAUGAGUUAUAAAUCUCAUAAGCUUCG
rnacentral:tRNA from 1 species